rnacentral:rRNA from 1 species
UACGUAGGGUGCAAGCGUUAAUCGGAAUUACUGGGCGUAAAGCGUGCGCAGGCGGCUUUGCAAGACAGAUGUGAAAUCCCCGGGCUUAACCUGGGAACUGCAUUUGUGACUGCAUGGCUAGAGUGCGGGAGAGGGGGAUGGAAUUCCGCGUGUAGCAGUGAAAUGCGUAGAUAUGCGGAGGAACACCGAUGGCGAAGGCAAUCCCCUGGGCCUGCACUGACGCUCAUGCACGAAAGCGUGGGGAGCAAACAGG